rnacentral:rRNA from 1 species
CAAAUUUUGAUCUGAAAUCAGGUAGGAUUACCCGCUGAACUUAAGCAUAUCAAUAAGCGGAGGAAAAGAAACUAACAAGGAUUCCCUCAGUAACGGCGAGUGAAGCGGGAAGAGCUCAAAUUUAAAAUCUGGUUUGCUUGCAAGCCCGAGUUGUAGUCUGAAGAAACGUUUUCCAUAAGCACUGAGGCAAAAGUCCCUUGGAACAGGGCAUCAUAGAGGGUGAGAAUCCCGUCCAUGGUCUCAAGUUGUUUAUUUUGUGAUACGUUUUCAAAGAGUCAGGUUGUUUGGGAAUGCAGCCUAAAAUGGGUGGUAAAUUUCAUCUAAAGCUAAAUAUUGGCGAGAGACCGAUAGCGAACAAGUACCGUGAGGGAAAGAUGAAAAGAACUUUGAAAAGAGAGUUAAAAAGUACGUGAAAUUGUUGAAAGGGAACCGUUUGAAGCCAGUCUUACUUGCCUGUGAUCAAUUUUUGCUUCGGCAUGAAUGCACUCUCGGGUAUGGUAGGCCAACGACAGUUUGGAAUGCGAGAAAAAAAUUUGGGAAAUGUGGCCUUCGGGUGUUAUAGUC